CCUACGGGCGGCUGCAGUGAGGAAUAUUGGUCAAUGGGCGGGAGCCUGAACCAGCCAAGCCGCGUGAGGGAAGAAGGUACAGCGUAUCGUAAACCUCUUUUGUCAGGGAACAAAGGCGGGGACUAGUCCCCGGAUGAGGGUACCUGAAGAAAAAGCAUCGGCUAACUCCGUGCCAGCAGCCGCGGUAAUACGGAGGAUGCGAGCGUUAUCCGGAUUUAUUGGGUUUAAAGGGUGCGCAGGCGGCCUGUUAAGUCAGCGGGAAAAGCCCGGGGCUCAACCCCGGCGAGCCGUUGAAACUGGCGGGCGGGAGUUGGAGAGAAGUACGCGGAAUGCGCGGUGUAGCGGUGAAAUGCUUAGAGAUCGCGCAGAAACCCGAUUGCGAAGGCAGCGUACCGGCUCCACACUGACGCUGAGGCACGAAAGCGUGGGUAUCGAACAGGAUUAGAUACCCCUGUAGUC
rnacentral:rRNA from 1 species